rnacentral:rRNA from 1 species
GGGAUAACAGUCAGAAAUGACUGCUAAUACCGCAUAAGACCACAGCACCGCAUGGUGCAGGGGUAAAAACUCCGGUGGUACAGGAUGGACCCGCGUCUGAUUAGCUGGUUGGUGAGGUAACGGCUCACCAAGGCGACGAUCAGUAGCCGGCUUGAGAGAGUGAACGGCCACAUUGGGACUGAGACACGGCCCAAACUCCUACGGGAGGCAGCAGUGGGGAAUAUUGCACAAUGGGGGAAACCCUGAUGCAGCGACGCCGCGUGAGUGAAGAAGUAUCUCGGUAUGUAAAGCUCUAUCAGCAGGGAAGAAAAUGACGGUACCUGACUAAGAAGCCCCGGCUAACUACGUGCCAGCAGCCGCGGUAAUACGUAGGGGGCAAGCGUUAUCCGGAAUUACUGGGUGUAAAGGGUGCGUAGGUGGUAUGGCAAGUCAGAAGUGAAAACCCAGGGCUUAACUCAGGGACUGCUUUUGAAACUGUCAGACUGGAGUGCAGGAGAGGUAAGCGGAAUUCCUAGUGUAGCGGUGAAAUGCGUAGAUAUUAGGAGGAACAUCAGUGGCGAAGGCGGCUUACUGGACUGAAACUGACACUGAGGCACGAAAGCGUGGGGAGCAAACAGGAUUAGAUACCCUGGUAGUCCACGCCGUAA